rnacentral:rRNA from 1 species
UACGGAGGGUGCAAGCGUUAUCCGGAUUCACUGGGUUUAAAGGGUGCGUAGGUGGGCAGGUAAGUCAGUGGUGAAGUCUCCGGGCUUAACUCGGAAACUGCCAUUGAUACUAUCUGUCUUGAAUACCGUGGAGGUCAGCGGAAUAUGUCAUGUAGCGGUGAAAUGCUUAGAUAUGACAUAGAACACCAAUUGCGAAGGCAGCUGGCUACACGAAUAUUGACACUGAUGCACGAAAGCGUGGGGAUCAAACAGG